rnacentral:rRNA from 4 species
UUAAGUUAUUAAGGGCGCACGGUGGAUGCCUUGGCACUAGAAGCCGAUGAAGGACGUUACUAACGACGAUAUGCUUUGGGGAGCUGUAAGUAAGCUUUGAUCCAGAGAUUUCCGAAUGGGGAAACCCAGCAUGAGUUAUGUCAUGUUAUCGAUAUGUGAAUACAUAGCAUAUCAGAAGGCACACCCGGAGAACUGAAACAUCUUAGUACCCGGAGGAAGAGAAAGAAAAUUCGAUUCCCUUAGUAGCGGCGAGCGAAACGGGAAGAGCCCAAACCAACAAGCUUGCUUGUUGGGGUUGUAGGACACUCUAUACGGAGUUACAAAGGACGACAUUAGACGAAUCAUCUGGAAAGAUGAAUCAAAGAAGGUAAUAAUCCUGUAGUCGAAAAUGUUGUCUCUCUUGAGUGGAUCCUGAGUACGACGGAGCACGUGAAAUUCCGUCGGAAUCUGGGAGGACCAUCUCCUAAGGCUAAAUACUCUCUAGUGACCGAUAGCGAACCAGUACCGUGAGGGAAAGGUGAAAAGCACCCCGGAAGGGGAGUGAAAUAGAACCUGAAACCGUGUGCUUACAAGUAGUCAGAGCCCGUUAAUGGGUGAUGGCGUGCCUUUUGUAGAAUGAACCGGCGAGUUACGAUUUGAUGCAAGGUUAAGCAGUAAAUGUGGAGCCGUAGCGAAAGCGAGUCUGAAUAGGGCGUUUAGUAUUUGGUCGUAGACCCGAAACCAGGUGAUCUACCCUUGGUCAGGUUGAAGUUCAGGUAACACUGAAUGGAGGACCGAACCGACUUACGUUGAAAAGUGAGCGGAUGAACUGAGGGUAGCGGAGAAAUUCCAAUCGAACCUGGAGAUAGCUGGUUCUCUCCGAAAUAGCUUUAGGGCUAGCCUCAAGUGAUGAUUAUUGGAGGUAGAGCACUGUUUGGACGAGGGGCCCCUCUCGGGUUACCGAAUUCAGACAAACUCCGAAUGCCAAUUAAUUUAACUUGGGAGUCAGAACAUGGGUGAUAAGGUCCGUGUUCGAAAGGGAAACAGCCCAGACCACCAGCUAAGGUCCCAAAAUAUAUGUUAAGUGGAAAAGGAUGUGGCGUUGCCCAGACAACUAGGAUGUUGGCUUAGAAGCAGCCAUCAUUUAAAGAGUGCGUAAUAGCUCACUAGUCGAGUGACACUGCGCCGAAAAUGUACCGGGGCUAAACAUAUUACCGAAGCUGUGGAUUGUCCUUUGGACAAUGGUAGGAGAGCGUUCUAAGGGCGUUGAAGCAUGAUCGUAAGGACAUGUGGAGCGCUUAGAAGUGAGAAUGCCGGUGUGAGUAGCGAAAGACGGGUGAGAAUCCCGUCCACCGAUUGACUAAGGUUUCCAGAGGAAGGCUCGUCCGCUCUGGGUUAGUCGGGUCCUAAGCUGAGGCCGACAGGCGUAGGCGAUGGAUAACAGGUUGAUAUUCCUGUACCACCUAUAAUCGUUUUAAUCGAUGGGGGGACGCAGUAGGAUAGGCGAAGCGUGCGAUUGGAUUGCACGUCUAAGCAGUAAGGCUGAGUAUUAGGCAAAUCCGGUACUCAUUAAGGCUGAGCUGUGAUGGGGAGAAGACAUUGUGUCUUCGAGUCGUUGAUUUCACACUGCCGAGAAAAGCCUCUAGAUAGAAAAUAGGUGCCCGUACCGCAAACCGACACAGGUAGUCAAGAUGAGAAUUCUAAGGUGAGCGAGCGAACUCUCGUUAAGGAACUCGGCAAAAUGACCCCGUAACUUCGGGAGAAGGGGUGCUCUUUAGGGUUAACGCCCAGAAGAGCCGCAGUGAAUAGGCCCAAGCGACUGUUUAUCAAAAACACAGGUCUCUGCUAAACCGUAAGGUGAUGUAUAGGGGCUGACGCCUGCCCGGUGCUGGAAGGUUAAGAGGAGUGGUUAGCUUCUGCGAAGCUACGAAUCGAAGCCCCAGUAAACGGCGGCCGUAACUAUAACGGUCCUAAGGUAGCGAAAUUCCUUGUCGGGUAAGUUCCGACCCGCACGAAAGGCGUAACGAUUUGGGCACUGUCUCAACGAGAGACUCGGUGAAAUCAUAGUACCUGUGAAGAUGCAGGUUACCCGCGACAGGACGGAAAGACCCCGUGGAGCUUUACUGUAGCCUGAUAUUGAAAUUCGGCACAGCUUGUACAGGAUAGGUAGGAGCCUUUGAAACGUGAGCGCUAGCUUACGUGGAGGCGCUGGUGGGAUACUACCCUAGCUGUGUUGGCUUUCUAACCCGCACCACUUAUCGUGGUGGGAGACAGUGUCAGGCGGGCAGUUUGACUGGGGCGGUCGCCUCCUAAAAGGUAACGGAGGCGCUCAAAGGUUCCCUCAGAAUGGUUGGAAAUCAUUCAUAGAGUGUAAAGGCAUAAGGGAGCUUGACUGCGAGACCUACAAGUCGAGCAGGGUCGAAAGACGGACUUAGUGAUCCGGUGGUUCCGCAUGGAAGGGCCAUCGCUCAACGGAUAAAAGCUACCCCGGGGAUAACAGGCUUAUCUCCCCCAAGAGUUCACAUCGACGGGGAGGUUUGGCACCUCGAUGUCGGCUCAUCGCAUCCUGGGGCUGUAGUCGGUCCCAAGGGUUGGGCUGUUCGCCCAUUAAAGCGGUACGCGAGCUGGGUUCAGAACGUCGUGAGACAGUUCGGUCCCUAUCCGUCGUGGGCGUAGGAAAUUUGAGAGGAGCUGUCCUUAGUACGAGAGGACCGGGAUGGACAUACCUCUGGUGUACCAGUUGUCGUGCCAACGGCAUAGCUGGGUAGCUAUGUGUGGACGGGAUAAGUGCUGAAAGCAUCUAAGCAUGAAGCCCCCCUCAAGAUGAGAUUUCCCAACUUCGGUUAUAAGAUCCCUCAAAGAUGAUGAGGUUAAUAGGUUCGAGGUGGAAGCAUGGUGACAUGUGGAGCUGACGAAUACUAAUCGAUCGAAGACUUAAUCAA